rfam:Clostridium butyricum E4 str. BoNT E BL5262 CLP.Contig62, whole genome shotgun sequence.
AUUGAAAAAUAGUUUUUUCCGUAGACAGUGGGUGCGAAAGCGUAAAAGGUAACUACCCGCCGAGGGAUAUAUAAUAGAUGAUAUUAUAGAUCUCCCUAUGUCUACGGGGAGAUCUUUUUUGAUAAAUAU